GUCCACGCCGUAAACGAUGAUAACUAGCUGUCCGGGCACAUGGUGCUUGGGUGGCGCAGCUAACGCAUUAAGUUAUCCGCCUGGGGAGUACGGUCGCAAGAUUAAAACUCAAAGGAAUUGACGGGGGCCUGCACAAGCGGUGGAGCAUGUGGUUUAAUUCGAAGCAACGCGCAGAACCUUACCAGCCUUUGACAUCCCGGUCGCGAUUACCAGAGAUGGUUUUCUUCAGUUCUGCUGGACCGGUGACAGGUGCUGCAUGGCUGUCGU
rnacentral:rRNA from 1 species